rnacentral:rRNA from 1 species
AGCGAACGUUAGCGGCGCGCCUAACACAUGCAAGUCGCACGAGAAAGGGCUUCGGCCCCGGUAAAGUGGCGCACAGGUGAGUAACACGUGGGUAAUCUUCCUCCGAGCGGGGGAUAACAUUCCGAAAGGAGUGCUAAUACCGCAUAAGACCACGGAGUCGAAAGACACUGAGGUAAAAGCUGGCCUCUUCAACGAAAGCUAGCACUUGGAGAUGAGCCCGCGGCCCAUCAGGCAGUUGGCAGGGUAAUGGCCUACCAAACCUAAGACGGGUAGCUGGUCUGAGAGGAUGAUCAGCCACACUGGAACUGAGACACGGUCCAGACUCCUACGGGAGGCAGCAGUGGGGAAUCUUGCGCAAUGGACGAAAGUCUGACGCAGCGACGGCCGCGGUGGGGU